AGGUUAUGAUGUGGGUAUUUUCUUAAUAAUUCUUUAAAUCUCUGCCAUGCCUCAAAUAAUGAUUUAGUGUUCAACUGUGCAUAAGUUGUAAUCUUUUGAUGUAGCUU